rnacentral:lncRNA from 1 species
CGCAUUUAGUAGUUGUUAAUAAUAAAUAGUUUAGUUAGAUGUUUGAAUGUUUGUGAUUUCCGUUAUGCAUGAUUAGAGACGUUGUGGAUCACUGGUUUUGGUUUUAUGGAUAUUAAGUUCUCGGAUUUGUGUAUUUAUACAUAUUUACGCAUCGUGGUUUUCUACCCCUCGAGGUAGUCGGUUUUCAAAAUAAAGUUUUCGUGUGGGAAACAGUUUUAAAAAGGUUUUCGAAUGAUUUGCAUGAAUGAAUGAAUUAGAGUUUAAAAACAAAAGCUUCCGUGUGGGGAGCACUUUUAAAUAGGAUGUUUGUUGUAUUGUGCAUUACAUUAUCCAGCGCCUAAGGAGUGCUUAGAGGCAUGCAUCAUCUCUAAGGAUCGUUAGUUAUAUGGAAAUACAUAUCAUGAAUUGGUUGUUGAUUGGUAAAUGUAGGUUGUGGUUGAGAUCCUGUUGUAUAGUUGGUAUGCCGUGCAAAUACAAAGGAGACUCUGUCCGAGUGGAUAGAGGAACUUUGUAUUUGUGGCGGAUCUGUACGUCACGUGGGCCAGGUUUAAAAAAAAAAAAAAUUUGGCACAUCUUCCGCAACUCUGUUUCAAAAUGGUAAUGAAUUUUUAAAAAGGCUUUUAAAAUCGGCCCCGGGGUGUGACAGAUUAAGAUGGUAUCAGAGCGUGAAACAACUACAACUGCAUUUACAAGUUUUCUAACUGAACCACUGGUUAGGUUGACCCAUAGGAAGACCUAAGGUAUAUAGGCACGUGAGUGCGGUUUUGGGUUUGAGUCCCGGUGAGUUUGUAUGUCGAGUCGUUUGGUUUGCUUGACGGUGUUUUCUGUUGCAGAUGGCUCGUGGUAGGCCCCCUCGUCCGGGUCGUGGUGGUGGACGCGUCGGUGCGGAAACGCCCGGCAGUACUCGUGCUCCUCCGAGUGGGGGUGUUGGGGAGCAGUUGGGCGCGGAGCCGCUGAGUGGUACUCGGACUCAGCAGCUCGAGGCCCAGGUAGCUGAUUUGAGGGGUCAGCUGGCGACCCUCUCUGGUUUGUUUCAGCAGUUCUUGCAGCAGCAGGCUGCGGCUACUGCUACCCCGGUCCCACCUUCGGCACAGGACACUCCGGUGAACGCGGAUCCUCCCGCAACGCACGCGCCUGCCGUAGCUCCAGCCGUGACUACCACGACGACGACGGCCACCACGACAGUUUUCGCUGGGGGUACUGAUACCCCUGCAACGGAAGGCGCCCGCAUUAGGGCAAGGCUGGUGGAGUUUCGAAAGUUCGAUCCGCUGAAGUUCGCAGAAAAGAGCGACGACGCCUGGGUGAUCGAGCAUUGGGUUACUCAUAUGGAGAAACUGUUUUGUGAUCUACACAUCGAGGAGCUGGAUCGCGUCCCUCUAGCUGCUCACUGUCUUGAGAGGGAUGCGUAUUCGUGGUGGAUCAGCUACUUCGAGCGCAAACUUGGGAGCAUCUAUCCAAGCUAGGAGGAGUUCCGGAGACUCCUUUACGAGCAGUACUUCAAGGAUACCACUAAGCAGAAUCUGGAGCGCGAGCUAGAGCGUCUCAAGCAAGGCAGUCGUACCGUAGCAGAGUAUGAGUGAGACUUCUCUCGUAUUAUUGCACUGAUUCCAUUCGUAGUUCGUGAUGAGUAUCACAAGGCAAGGCUGUUCGCGAGAGGGCUAAGGCCCAGUAUUCAACUUCUUAUCGCGUCCCAUGGCGCUUUGACGUUCGACGAGAGUCUGGAUCGGGCACUAAUGGUGCAGAACGAUAUGGAUGAGGCUCAAAUCAAACAAGAUGCAUUCGAGAAGACUGAGGAUAGGAAGCAAGCACAGGAGAGUUUUGUUGGUGGUCAAUCGAGCAAUGGGCGACCACCCAAGCAUCACAAAACGCAGUCCGGAUUGAGCAGUUCCCCCGCUACAUCUCAAAGGCAGAGCACCCCACCUUGUGUCUUCUAUGGCAAGGCUCAUAGAGUUUAUGAGUGCCCAAAGCGCCACAAUCGUUGUUACAAGUGUGGCCAACGCGGACAUCUUAAGGCAGAUUGCACCAAUAGAGCAGGAUCAGAGUCUGCAGCAGCGUCUACUCCAGCAGCUCUAUGGCAGGAUCGUGGCAGUACGGCGCACCCUUCGCCUGGACGUCUAUCGUUAUCCCGUCAAGUGAAGGAGGUACACCAGACAACUGACGGACGCGCUUACAUGAUGACACGUCAGGAAGAUGAUCAGUCGGCUGACGUGGUCGCAGGUAUAAUUUUGUUUAUCGUAGUAAACAGCAUGCUUUUCGUUUUAAUGCAUCUCCUCCUGGCAUUGCAUGCAUGUAUUGUUCUAGUUCGUUGUGUAUAGCUAAACUUUCUUUAAGGGGGGGAUGAUGUAAGGACCGAGAUUUUGGAAGUGUAGCUAAACUCUCUGUUGACGAUGUUUUUGUGUGUAAUUUAAUUACAAAGCACUCGUCAAGUUUUGGGAGAAAACGAGUUAGAACGGAGAUUCUACGCGAUUUCCAAAUUUCACUUAAAGUGAAUAGUAACUUGUUUUUUCGGAGAGGUCAAUGCGUAGAGGUGGCUUCUAGCUCGUACCGGACUCCGUUCAUAGCAGUCCAAUAGCUCGUUUCGACCGGUUUAGCUGUUCUGGAACUAAUGGCGCUGACGAAUUUUGAGUUUGACGCACGAAUUUCGAGAAAAUCCGAAAAUACGUGUUUUAUAUGUAUUUGUGCGUAGUUCUUCUGUUGGAGAGAUGGAUCGGAUUUCGUCGUGAAUCUGCGACGGAUUGAGGCGAAACGAAAUCGUAGCUUUAUUGUCUCUAUUGUGCUGAUCGCACUGGUGUGAUCCGUUUGCAAAUCUGACGGGCGGAUCUGCGGAGAUUACGCGUUGAUCGAGGAGAGGUCGGUGAUGGCAAAACGGUAUUUUUGCAAAAGUUGCGAUAUUUUAUGUAUCGUUUUGCGUGAAACCGGACGUGGAAGUGUGUUCGCGCAUUUUACACACGCUGAGAAGGACUCAGUAUUAAAUACUAAGGAUUGGGGGGCUAACUCGCAAAGUUGCACCUUGGUAUAUAUAUAGCUCCUAGGGUUUUUGAUCCCCUAACCCUAACCCUAGCCCUAGCCGCACCUUGCCACCUUCUACUCCCUCUCUUGAGUGCACGGCGUGCGCCCCAGUCGCCGGCGCACGCUGCCGGUCGCCGGAGAAAGAGGUUCCAUCUCCCUGUAGCUCCCUCUCCAUCUCUCUCUCUCCAUCUCUCUCUUUUCUUCUCGGUUUGGAGCCUUGGUCGAGGCUGCAUUGCCUUCCUGCACCUUGCCGGCGUCGCCUCGACACCGUCAGUGUUUACCCCACCGGCCGCCGCCUCCCCCGAGCGCUACCGCCGUCGCCCCAGCACCCUGCUGCCAGCUAGGGCAGUUUUGGCCGAGCUGAACUCCAUCUGCUAGCCACGCGCCGCCGCCGCCUGAGACCACCCCGGCCACCUUCCCCGGAGCUUAGGCGACCACCCCCGGCCGGUCGCCGCCGCCCCUGCAGGCUGCCGUCGCCGCCUCGGCCAGCUCGCGGCCGCCCCAGCCUACUCGGGCUUAGCGGACCCGCCUUCUCUCCUCUCGCGCCGUCGCCGCCCGGAGCCACCCAUGCCGCCUCCCGCCGACCUCAGGCGACCCACCGCCGCCGCCCCGUGGUGCCCGGGCUGCUGCCGUGGCCACCAUUGCUCUGGAACACGAGCUUCAACUCGUCCGCGCUUGUCUCUUUCCGCCAUCGCCGCCGCCGCUCCUCGCCGCCAACUGAGGUGAGCACCACACUCCCUACCUCCCCCGCAGCCAUUCCUGGCCCGCACGCACCACGCCGUGCCACCGGAAGCCGGCCGGAGCAAGCUUGCUCCGGCCAAGCCCGAAAUAGGGCUAUUCCUUGGCGGUUUGCUGUUCUGAGCUUCCCAAGCCUCCCUGAUCUCUACAGAAGGGAGCAUGGUGAUCGUGGCAAUUUUCUGAUCAUCGUGCUCACCUUAGUUUCUAUCGGGGAGACUCCUUUCCGCUGUUUCGGCGGUGUCGCUCCAUUAGAGCCUUUUUGGCUGCUAUUUCAGGAUUAUGCACAUUUUUACGGCGAUCCGAGGCUGUUCCGAUGCCUCUGCAGGUGAGCACGGUGAUCAUGGAUCAGUGUUGAUUUCGGUUCGGAUUUCUUCCGAAAUUCGCCGAAAGAACGCGGUUUCGGUUUGGAUUUCUUCCGACGUGGUUUGGUUAUCCUGUAAAUUAUCGCUGAGCCUUGUUGGCUGGUCGCCAUCAUUAUUUUGUGGGUUCGGUGAUGAUGGGUGAGCGACGAUCGGUUCCGGUGUCGAAAUAGACACUUUCGGGAACCCGAAUUCGUAUAUUAUCCGGCAAUAAUUGUGUAGUGGUGUUAUCUUGUGUUUGCUGCCAAAACAUUCAAAUCGGAGUGUUUUGGGGCAGCAGGUGACUCGUGACACGAAUCGGUGAGUUUCGGGACACUUAGUGGGUCCCGAUGGCAUCCCGUUGUGUUUUUCGGGACUUCCGGUGAGUUACGGUGAUCGGUUUUGGGAAACCGAUUACGGGGAUCUUGUGUGGGGGGUUUGUGAGUCUCGUGCUUUGGCUUAGUGAUUUGGAUACUGACCUGAUGGAUCUUCUUAGGUCCGGUAGACUCUGUGCGUACCCAGUGUUCCAACGCGACAGUGACAGGUGGGUGUUUCGAGCUGGUAGUCGGUGAGAUCGUUUCACCCUUCCUCUAUUCUUUCAUAUCAGUAUCGUAGUCUCUACAUGUCUUUGCUUUGAUUAUCAUUUGUAUAUCUUACUUUGUUAGUUGCAUUUUUUUAGUUGUUGAUAGACAUGUAGAGCAGGUUGCAUAUAUAUAAAUAUAUAUAUAUAUAUACUGUAUAUCUGUGGACCUUGGAUCCAGGCAACACACUGACUCCUUUGUCGUGUGUUUCGAUCUGGUUGAUCGUGGUUCGACGUUGUACGCCCUUGCACCUGGCUUCGGCCAAGGCACCGGUCUCUUUUUGCCGGUUUUCGUUUUGAUCAUAUCAGCAUGAUUUAGUCAUAGCACUGUGUAUUCUAGACACCUUGUUGGUUUGGCCACCAACCAAGGGGUGUACGUAUCCGGAUAGGUCGUCGGUGACGCAUGAAUAAGUUGGCAGUGUCUGCUCUGUGACAGGUAACGCUUGAGGUCUGCGGACCAAUAUGGCAGCAUAAGAUUGGGUUUGGUUUGGACUAUUUACCCUUGAGGCAUCCGAUCAGUUGAGUUUUUUGUUCCAGUAGUAGUUUCGUUCUUGCUCAGUUAUUAUCCUGUUUCUAUUACUACUGUAGUUGCUCUUAUAUCACAUCAUACUUAUAACUGUAGUUCUGUUUUAUAUCAGCAUAUAUAUUUGUUUAUCAAUCUCCUUUGGUUUCCGGUGAUUACGGUUUGCCUUCGUGGCUCUGUCGUACCCACUGAGAAACCAUGGUUGCGGUUUCUCACCCCCCAUUCCCCCCAGGUGACAUGGACGAGGAGUUAGAUUUUGGGCUCGACGGGAGGACGAUCUAGCUAGUCGGCAGUAACGACCGUCACCCUGGUUAUAUUUCUUCCCGUAUUUAGUAGUUGUUAAUAAUAAAUAGUUCAGUUAGAUGUUUGAAUGUUUGUGAUUUUUGUUAUGCAUGAUUAGAGACUUUGUGGAUCACUGAUUUUGGUUUUAUGGAUAUUCAGUUAUCAGAUUUGUGUAUUUAUACAUAUUUACGCAUUGUGGUUUUCUGCCCCUCGAGGUAGUUGAUUUUCAAAAUAGAGUUUCCGUGUGGGAAACAGUUUUAAAAAUAUUUUCGAAUGGUUUUCAUGAAUGAAUGAAUUAGAGUUUAAAAACAAAAGCUUCCGUGUGGGGAGCACUUUUAAAUAGGAUGUUUGUUGUAUUGUGCAUUGCAUCAUCCAGCGCCUAAGGAGUGCUUAGAGGUAUGCAUCAUUUCUAAGGAUCGUUAGCUGUAUGAAAAUGCAUAUUAUGAAUUGGUUGUUGAUUGGUAAAUGUAGGUUGUGGUUGAGAUCCUGUUGUAUAGUUGGUACGCCGUGCAAAUACAAAGGAGACUCUGUCCGAGUGUAUAGAGGAACUUUGUAUUUGUGGCGGAUCUGUACGUCACGUGGGCCAGAUUGAAAAAAAAAAAAAAUUUGGUACAUCUUCCGUAACUCUGUUUCAAAAUGGUAAUGAAUUUUAAAAAGACUUUUAAAAUCGGCCCCGGGGCGUGACAGUACAAAUUAUAAUUGACAAUACUAGGGCUGAAAGAAGAAUUAUAGAGCAAUAAUUUUGUCAUAUAUAUAUUUUUUUUGAGGAAAAGGUAGCACGCUAGCUACUUCAUUCAUUGGAACGGUGAAUUAAACUACAUGGGUGAGGCAGCAAGGCCUCAAAAGGGGCGA